AUGCUGCAGUCCAAGCCUGCUGCUGCUAACCCAAGAUCAUGUCAACAUAUCCUGCUGCCCUGCUAUUCCUAUGCAACCCUGCAUCAUCUACAAAGCAUUCCAAAACCAUGUCAAAAGCCAAUUCUGCAUACUGUUUAUAAACCAGUCCAAACACCUGCUAUUAAACCAGUCCGCAAACUCUGCCCUAUGCUGGAAAAUUCUUGCAUACAACAGUAUGUAAAAACAUCCUUCCACCAACCAUCCACAAGCCCCACAGACCAGCCCUGCAUAGACCUGCAAAAAAAUCCCAAAAACUUGUUGAUAUGCUUGUUAUCAUAUUCUUGUCCAUUAUUGUCAAGAAAACACCAAAAAUCUGCUUCAAUUACCAUGCUAUAA